GUUGUAUUCCCUCCGUUCGAAAUUACUUGUCGCAGAAAUGAAUGUAUUUAGAUGUAUUUUAGUUCUAGAUAUAUUCAUAUCUGAGACAAGUAAUUCCGAACGGAGGGGUACUAC
rnacentral:pre_miRNA from 1 species